UUAAAUCCCCUCCUUAUUCUCUUCAAACAAGAAAAAAACCUAACUCUUCAUCUUCUCACAGAACCAAACAAAACCUCCUCUUCAUCUCACAGAUCCAAACCCAUGGCUUCUCCUAAUUGGGAUAUCUCCAUCUACGGGACAAAUGACCAUAACAACUUCCAUGUAUGUUGAAAAGUGAAGAGUUAUAUUUGUAAUUGACCCGAUCCUUAUAUGGCAUUAUCAGAAGGCGGCACUUGCUGGCCAAAACUAUUUGAAUGGGGUCUCGCCUAUAGUGAAUUUUUUUUUGCCAUGUCUUCUAGUGCCUCUUGAGUAUGAAUAUUUUCAAUUAGAUGGGGAAAAUUUUGGACGCGGCUCUGGACGAUAUAUCAACAUACACCUAUUGUAGGGCUGCUGAUAUGAAUGGCUGCUCACUUUUCAUGAUAAUAUACGUUGUGCACUUUGUUUAGUUAGGUGAUUUUCAUGUAAUUAGUAUCGUUGACCAUUAUAGAUAGUAAUUUGUAAUGUGAUAUGGCUAUUUAAUAGAAAUUUAUCCACUAACCAUUUCCCA